rnacentral:rRNA from 1 species
AUGCCACCGCCACAUUCCUCGUUUUCCCCAUCGAUCCAAUCCAUCCAUCCCGCAGCUUCCCCUCGAUCCCGUCGCCUCCUUGCUCGGGAGAGCAAAGGCUCGACCCCGAGCCUCCCGUGCGCCUCCACCUCCCUGCCGGAGCAGCACCAGCCGCUCCCCACUGCUUGCAGACGCCUCCCCUCCCGGCUCCCGUGCGUGUCCAGCACCAAAGGAGAGGAGCUCCUCGAGCCCUCGAUCCAGCGGGCAGGUGCCCGAGCGCCUCCUCACCUCGUCCCCGUCGCCGCUACCUGCCUCGCCUCCUGCCGAGCGCCUCCCUCACCUGCGGCCUCCUCCCCGACCCCGCGCCAAGUUCGUCUUCGAGCUGCGCCGCCGCCUGGAGCUUCUUCACCGGAGGCCUUCGCCUCGUCCGGAGCCGCCGUGUGUGUCCUCCCCGUCCCUGCCGUUCGUGCCACCGGAUCGGGUCGCCUCCGCCCGGCUCCUCUCGCCCGACUGCCCUUGCUUGCCUCCCGCCGCAGGGCCUCGUCUCUGCUUCGAGCAGAGGAACAAAGCUGUCGCCGCCCGCUUCGUCAGAUUCAGGACGCGAGCGUUGCUCGUGUUGACCGCGCCCUGAACCCCCCCAAGCUCGUGGAUGCCCGGCGCCCGAGGCCUCCUGCCUCCCUAAUGCUCGUCGCCGAGCACCGGUGCCCUCGCCGGAAACCAUCCGCGCCGCCCGCCAAGUCCUGCGCCUCUGCUUCGCUCACCCGAACCAGCGCCUCGUCCUGGUCCUCGCUCGCGUUGACCCCGCCAAGUCCUACGACCGACCGCCCGCGCCUAGGCCACCUCCCCUUCACCAGAUCCGGCCCAACCGCUCCUCUGCUUUGGCCCGGCCGCCCACCUGCGUCGCCCCGCGAGCCUCCUCCACCGAUCUGGGCCAUGGCCCAUGUUGUGAGGAUUCGUUCGACUACAUCCGUUUGUCUUCUUCGUGGACUCGUUCUUCUUCCUAGCGGGAUUUCAGGCAAGAUGAUCAUACCCUCGAAAUCACUUCUAUCUUCGCUUGCUAGUUGUUCAUUCUAUUGCUAUGCUGCGCUACCUACCACUUGCUAUAUCAUGCCUCCCAUAUUGCCAUGUCAAGCCUCUAAUCCACUCUUCCUAGCAAACCGUUGUUUGGCUAUGUUACCGCUUUUGCUCAGCCCCUCUUAUAGCGUUGCUAGUUGCAGGAUAAGAUGA